AAUGCCUUAGUAGCGGCGAGUGAGCGGCAAUAGCUCAAUUUGAAAUCUGGCACCUUCGGUGUCCGAGUUGUAAUUUGAAGAAGGUAUCUUUGGUUUUGGCUCUUGUCUAUGUUCCUUGGAACAGGACGUCACAGAGGGUGAGAAUCCCGUGCGAUGAGAUGCCCAAUUCCAUGUAAAGUUCCUUCGACGAGUCGAGUUGUUUGGGAAUGCAGCUCUAAGUGGGUGGUAAAUUCCAUCUAAAGCUAAAUAUUGGCGAGAGACCGAUAGCGAACAAGUACUGUGAAGGAAAGAUGAAAAGAACUUUGAAAAGAGAGUGAAAAAGUACGUGAAAUUGUUGAAAGGGAAGGG
rnacentral:rRNA from 1 species